rnacentral:rRNA from 1 species
CCUACGGGGGGCAGCAGUGGGGAAUAUUGGACAAUGGGGGCAACCCUGAUCCAGCCAUGCCGCGUGUGUGAAGAAGGCCCUCGGGUUGUAAAGCACUUUCAGUGAGGAAGAACGCCUGGUGGUUAAUACCCAUCAGGAAAGACAUCACUCACAGAAGAAGCACCGGCUAACUCCGUGCCAGCAGCCGCGGUAAUACGGUGGGUGCGAGCGUUAAUCGGAAUUACUGGGCGUAAAGCGCGCGUAGGUGGCUUGAUAAGCCGGUUGUGAAAGCCCCGGGCUCAACCUGGGAACGGCAUCCGGAACUGUCAAGCUAGAGUGCAGGAGAGGAAGGUAGAAUUCCCGGUGUAGCGGUGAAAUGCGUAGAGAUCGGGAGGAAUACCAGUGGCGAAGGCGGCCUUCUGGACUGACACUGACACUGAGGUGCGAAAGCGUGGGUAGCAAACAGGAUUAGAUACCCUAGUAGUC